AUUGAACGAUGGCGGCAGGCCUAACACAUGCAAGUCGAACGAGUGGCGGACGGGUGAGUAAUGUCUGGGAAACUGCCCGAUGGAGGGGGAUAACUACUGGAAACUGUAGCUAAUACCGCAUACCAUCGGAUGUGCCCAGAUGGGAUUAGCAAGUAGGUGGGGUAACGGCUCACCUAGGCGACGAUCCCUAGCUGGUCUGAGAGGAUGACCAGCAACACUGGAACUGAGACACGGUCCAUCAUCCUACGAGAGGCAGCAGUGGGUAAUAUUGCACAAUGGGCGCAAGCCCGAUGCAGCCAUGCGGCGUGUAUGAAGAAGGCCUUCGGGUUGUAAAGUACUUUCAGCGAUGAGGCGUUACUCGCAGAAGAAGCACCGGCUAACUCCGUGCCAGCAGCCGCGGUAAUUC
rnacentral:rRNA from 1 species